UACGUAGGGGGCUAGCGUUGUCCGGAUUUAUUGGGCGUAAAGAGCGUGUAGGCGGCCAGGUAGGUCUGCUGUGAAAACUCGAGGCUCAACCUCGAGACGUCGGCGGAAACCAUCUGGCUAGAGUCCGGAAGAGGAGAGUGGAAUUCCUGGUGUAGCGGUGAAAUGCGCAGAUAUCAGGAAGAACACCCGUGGCGAAGGCGGCUCUCUGGGAAGGUACUGACGCUGAGACGCGAAAGCGUGGGGAGCGAACAGG
rnacentral:rRNA from 1 species